rnacentral:snRNA from 1 species
UAACUUACUUGGCACCGAGACCAGGGUGAUCACAAAUGCCCUGGCCUAGCCAGGUAGAUGCUCACUUUUGCACUUCAGUGUGUUGAAGCCUAUGACGAUCCCUAAUCAGACUCGCUCGGACGCGUAGUUUUUCCUAGUUGGGAAGUCUUCGGAUCAUCCCGU